GCUUCUGGCCAUGUCACACUGAAUGUACCAGUUCUCAUCUGAUCACCGAAGUUAAGCAACGUCGAGCCUAGUGAGUACUUAGAUGGGUGACUGCUUGGGAAACCUAGGUACUGUAAGUG
rnacentral:rRNA from 1 species